rnacentral:rRNA from 1 species
GAUGAACGCUGGCGGCGUGCCUAAUACAUGCAAGUCGAGCGAACAGACGAGGAGCUUGCUCCUCUGACGUUAGCGGCGGACGGGUGAGUAACACGUGGAUAACCUACCUAUAAGACUGGGAUAACUUCGGGAAACCGGAGCUAAUACCGGAUAAUAUAUUGAACCGCAUGGUUCAAUAGUGAAAGACGGUUUUGCUGUCACUUAUAGAUGGAUCCGCGCCGCAUUAGCUAGUUGGUAAGGUAACGGCUUACCAAGGCGACGAUGCGUAGCCGGCCUGAGAGGGUGAUCGGCCACACUGGAACUGAGACACGGUCCAGACUCCUACGGGAGGCAGCAGUAGGGAAUCUUCCGCAAUGGGCGAAAGCCUGACGGAGCAACGCCGCGUGAGUGAUGAAGGUCUUCGGAUCGUAAAACUCUGUUAAUAGGGAAGAACAAAUGUGUAAGUAACUAUGCACGUCUUGACGGUACCUAAUCAGAAAGCCACGGCUAACUACGUG